GCCCCAGUAGCUCAGCGGAUAGAGCAGGGGCCUUCUAAUCCUCUGGUCGGGGGUUCGACUCCCUCCUGGGGCG
rnacentral:tRNA from 4 species